UACUUGGGAAGCUAAGGCAGGAGAAUUGCUUGAACCCGGGAGGUGGAGGUUGCAGUGAGCCAAGAUUGCACCAUUGCACAGGCUGGGUGACGAAGUGAAACGCAUCUGAAAAAAGAAAAAGAGAAAC